CCUGGACAGGUGCUGAGGACUCCAGCAGUCUUCACGGACAGUGGCCUCGGCUGCUGCCUUCGAGCUGCCGGGACUCUUGCCCUACAGCCCACCCCAGAAUAAACGGAGCCCAGAGCCUGGGGGACCCCGCAGGAAGAAAAACACCGACGCUGCAGAGGUAACCCCACGGACAGAGUCUCCUCCGCGCUUGUUCCCAUUCCCUGCGCGCGGGCACCGAUGCCCGGCGCCUGCAAAGUGUUCUGGGGAAUGCAAGAGGGAUUCCGGACUUUUUCCCACUUGGCUGAGCUCCCAGAUCCUUGCUGAACUUUGGGUAUAAAGAGAUUUGUAGAUUUCCCAGUCUGGAUGCGCUCCUGGGGUAAACGGGAAUUGCAGGAAACUCGUUUUGCUGGUUGCUUUCCCUGCAGACGUGGUCUUUUCUUGCGGAACUCAGAUUUGAACCUGUGAGGUAGGGCUCUUCUCUCCUGUGGGGUCUCUGGGCAGCCCUCUGGGCGAGCUCCUGAGGAUGGAGGGUAGACCCGAGUUUGGAGAUUUUGUAGAGCUAGCGGUGCUGUGGAGCAUCGCGGUGGCUCUGGACUUGGUCUUUAAGUAGCUUUGGGCUGCCACCUGUUGAUCCCAGAGCAGGACAGAAUGUAAUGCCGCAAGUCAUCGCCUCCAGAAAGUCAGGCCUGCAGGGCAGAAAUACCUUCUCGCGGUGUCCAUUUUAGCCUAGGGACAGAUAAGAGCCAGAUUCUCCCUGGGCUCAAACACCAGCCUAGUUGCUCCUAGGUGUGCCGAUGUAAAUUAAGAUGCUCCACCUCCCUGUGCCUCAGCUUCUUCAUCCGUAAAAUAGCGAUGAUGAAAUGACAGUACCCAUCUCAAUGCUGCUUUGAAGCUUGAAUGAUGUAAGGCAUGAAAGGACUUUGAAAAUUCCUGGCGGAUCGUAAGCAUUCCGUGAGUGUUGGCUAUCCUAACUAUUCAAAGGCUAAACAUUUGUUGUACACUGCUAAACAUGUUUACUGUGUGAUGUCAUUAAAGCAUCACAGGAAUUCUGUGAUGUAGUUACUAUUGCCUGCCUGCGUUUAAGAUCAGAAAACGGAGGCUCUAACAGCGAAGCAGCUUCUUACUAAGACCCCCACUGGCUUGAAGAUGCAUAGUGGUCAUGCCAGUCUGCAUUCAAGCUGCAGCCCGGCUGCUCAAGUGCAGUCUGGGAACACAGCGUGGGCAUCAUUUUGGAGCUCAAUACAAGGGCAGGAGCCCAGCCCCACACGUGACCUCCUGAAUUAAAGCUACA
rnacentral:lncRNA from 1 species